rnacentral:rRNA from 1 species
CGUACACUCCUACGGGAGGCAGCAGUGGGGAAUUUUGGACAAUGGGCGAAAGCCUGAUCCAGCCAUGCCGCGUGCAGGAUGAAGGCCUUCGGGUUAUAAACUGCUUUUGUACGGAACGAAACGGCCUUUUCUAAUAAAGAGGGCUAAUGACGGUACCGUAAGAAUAAGCACCGGCUAACUACGUGCCAGCAGCCGCGGUAAUACGUAGGGUGCAAGCGUUAAUCGGAAUUACUGGGCGUAAAGCGUGCGCAGGCGGUUAUGUAAGACAGUUGUGAAAUCCCCGGGCUCAACCUGGGAACUGCAUCUGUGACUGCAUAGCUAGAGUACGGUAGAGGGGGAUGGAAUUCCGCGUGUAGCAGUGAAAUGCGUAGAUAUGCGGAGGAACACCGAUGGCGAAGGCAAUCCCCUGGACCUGUACUGACGCUCAUGCACGAAAGCGUGGGGAGCAAACAGGAUUAGAUACCCGAGUAGUCCCAUGAU